CCUACGGGAGGCAGCAGUGAGGAAUAUUGGUCAAUGGACGAGAGUCUGAACCAGCCAAGUAGCGUGAAGGAUGACUGCCCUAUGGGUUGUAAACUUCUUUUAUAUGGGAAUAAAAUGUUCCACGUGUGGGAUUUUGUAUGUACCAUAUGAAUAAGGAUCGGCUAACUCCGUGCCAGCAGCCGCGGUAAUACGGAGGAUCCGAGCGUUAUCCGGAUUUAUUGGGUUUAAAGGGAGCGUAGGUGGAUUGUUAAGUCAGUUGUGAAAGUUUGCGGCGCAACCGUAAAAUUGCAGUUGAAACUGGCAGUCUUGAGUACAGUAGAGGUGGGCGGAAUGCGUGGUGUAGCGGUGAAAUGCUUAGAUAUCACGAAGAACUCCGAUUGCGAAGGCAGUUCACUGGACUGCAACUGACACUGAGGCUCGAAAGUGUGGGUAUCAAACAGGAUUAGAUACCCCAGUAGUC
rnacentral:rRNA from 1 species